rnacentral:lncRNA from 1 species
AAACAAUGCCAUGCAAAACACAAAACAGGUUAGAGUAAACAGAAAAAGGGCAACUGCUGUCACGCUCGCUACUGCUUCGCCUAGCGAAGGCUUAACGAGGCUUCGCUGCAAGCUCGCCUAGCAAAGGUUCUAGCGAGCGCCUGCGGGUUCUGGAUUUCCCAUUGAUAACAGUACGAUUUUAGGGACUCCAAACCCUAUGGCAUCCAUCUCAGAAAUUAAGUGAUCAAAACAUUCAAGGUAU